rnacentral:rRNA from 1 species
GAGUUUGAUUCUGGCUCAUAACGAACGGUAGCGGCGUGGAUUAGGCAUGCAAGUCGAACGCUCCAUUUUCUUUCGGGAUGGUGGAGAGUGGCGAAAGGGUGAGUAAUGCAUAGAUAAUCAACCCCUGACUCUCGGAUAACUGGGAGAAAUUCCAGCUAAUACGAGAUAGGUUCGCUAGGAAGCGUUUCUUAGCGAAUAAAAGAGGCCUCUCAACGAUGCUCCUGGUUGGGGACGGGUCUAUGUCCUAUCAGCUUGUUGGUGGGGUAAUGGCCUACCAAGGCAAUGACGGGUAGCCGACCUGAGAGGGUGACCGGCCACACUGGGACUGAGACACUGCCCAGACUCCUACGGGAGGCUGCAGUCGAGAAUCUUCCGCAAUGGGCGAAAGCCUGACGGAGCGACGCCGCGUGCAGGAUGAAGGCCUUCGGGUUGUAAACUGCUGUCCUAGGUUAAGAAACGUCUAGGUGUCAAUAGCAUCUAGUCUUGACAAAGGCCUAGAAGAAAGCCACGGCUAACUUCGUGCCAGCAGCCGCGGUAAGACGAAGGUGGCAACCGUUGUUCGGAAUUACUGGGCAUAAAG